rnacentral:rRNA from 1 species
CCUACGUGAGGCAGCAGUGAGGAAUAUUGGUCAAUGGCCGAGAGGCUGAACCAGCCAAGUCGCGUGAGGGAAGACGGCCCUACGGGUUGUCAACCUCUUUUGUCGGGGAGCAAAGCGAGUCACGUGUGACUCAUUGAGAGUACCCGAAGAACACGCAUCGGCUAACUCCGUGCCAGCCGCCGCGGUAAUACGGAGGAUGCGAGCGUUGUCCGGAUUUAUUGGGUUAAAAGGGUGCGCAGGCGGCGGUGCAAGUCAGCGGUCAAAGUGCGGGGCUCAACCCCGUACUGCCGUUGAAACUGGAGCCCUUGAGUGCGCGAGAAGUAUGCGGAAUGCGUGGUGUAGCGGUGAAAUGCAUAGAUAUCACGCAGAACUCCGAUUGCGAAGGCAGUAUACCGGCGCGCAACUGACGCUCAUGCACGAAAGCGUGGGUAUCGAACAGGAUUAGAUACCCGGGUAGUC